rnacentral:rRNA from 1 species
UUGACCUCGGAUCAGGUAGGACUACCCGCUGAACUUAAGCAUAUCAAUAAGCGGAGGAAAAGAAACCAACAGGGAUUGCCCCAGUAACGGCGAGUGAAGCGGCAACAGCUCAAAUUUGAAAUCUGGCCUUCGGGUCCGAGUUGUAAUUUGGAGAGGAUGCUUUUGGCGCGGCGCCGUCCGAGUUCCUUGGAACAGGACGCCAUAGAGGGUGAGAGCCCCGUACGGGCGGCCGCCUA